rnacentral:rRNA from 1 species
CCUACGGGAGGCUGCAGUGAGGAAUAUUGGUCAAUGGACGAGAGUCUGAACCAGCCAAGUAGCGUGAAGGAUGACUGCCCUAUGGGUUGUAAACUUCUUUUAUAUGGGAAUAAAAUGUUCCACGUGUGGGAUUUUGUAUGUACCAUAUGAAUAAGGAUCGGCUAACUCCGUGCCAGCAGCCGCGGUAAUACGGAGGAUCCGAGCGUUAUCCGGAUUUAUUGGGUUUAAAGGGAGCGUAGGUGGAUUGUUAAGUCAGUUGUGAAAGUUUGCGGCUCAACCGUAAAAUUGCAGUUGAAACUGGCAGUCUUGAGUACAGUAGAGGUUGGCGGAAUUCGGGGUGUAGCGGUGAAAUGCUUAGAUAUCACGAAGAACUCCGAUUGCGAAGGCAGUUCACUGGACUGCAACUGACACUGAGGCUCGAAAGUGUGGGUAUCAAACAGGAUUAGAUACCCUAGUAGUC